GAUGAAGAACGUAGCGAAAUGCGAUACAUAGUGUGAAUUGCAGAAUUCAGUGAAUCAUCGAAUCUUUGAACGCACAUUGCACCUCUCGGUAUUCCGGGAGGUAUGCCUGUUCGAGCGUCAUUUGUACCCUCAAGCUCUGCUUGGUGUUGGGUGUUUGUUCCGCCUCUGUGUGUGAACUCGCCUCAAAACAAUUGGCAGCCGGCGUACUUGUUUCGGAGCGCAGCACAUUUUGCGAUCCAGAUCAACGUACAGCGGCAUCCAAGAAGCCUUAUUUAACGCUCUUGACCUCGGAUCAGGUAGGGAUACCCGCUGAACUUAAGCAUAUCAAUAAGCGGAGGA
rnacentral:misc_RNA from 1 species